UACGGGGGGAGCAAGCGUUGUUCGGAUUUACUGGGCGUAAAGGGCGCGUAGGCGGCGUGGCAAGUCACUUGUGAAAUCUCCGGGCUUAACUCGGAACGGUCAAGUGAUACUGCUGUGCUAGAGUGCGGAAGGGGCAACUGGAAUUCUCGGGUGUAGCGGUGAAAUGCGUAGAUAUCGAGAGGAACACCUGCGGCGAAGGCGGGUUGCUGGGCCGACACUGACGCUGAGGCGCGAAAGCUAGGGGAGCGAACGGG
rnacentral:rRNA from 1 species